GUACGCUAUUCAGAGUUUGAUCCUGGCUCAGGACGAACGCUGGCGGCGUGCCUAACACAUGCAAGUCGAACGGAACUUUAUUGGAUGAGACUUCGGUUGAUGAAGAUAAAGUUUAGUGGCGGACGGGUGAGUAACGCGUGAGCAACCUGCCUUACAGAGGGGGACAACAGUUGGAAACGACUGCUAAUACCGCAUGAAAUAGCGAGAAGGCAUCUUCUUGCUAUCAAAGAUUUUAUCGCUGUAAGAUGGGCUCGCGUAUGAUUAGAUAGUUGGUGAGGUAACGGCUCACCAAGUCGACGAUCAUUAGCCGGACUGAGAGGUUGAACGGCCACAUUGGGACUGAGAUACGGCCCAG
rnacentral:rRNA from 1 species